rnacentral:rRNA from 1 species
GGACUACCCGGGUAUCUAAUCCUGUUUGCUACCCACGCUUUCGCGCCUCAGCGUCAGGGGUUGGCCAGUAUGCUGCCUUCGCCAUGGGUGUUCCUCCCGAUAUCAACGCAUUUCACCGCUACACCGGGAAUUCCACAUACCUCUCCAACCCUCUAGUCUGCCAGUAUGCAGAGCAGUUUCCGGGUUGAGCCCUGGAGAUUUCACUCUACACUUAACAGACCGCCUACGCGCUCUUUACGCCCAGUAAAUCCGGACAACGCUUGCACCCUACGUCUUACCGCGGCUGCUGGCAC